rnacentral:rRNA from 1 species
GACGAACGCUGGCGGCGUGCUUAACACAUGCAAGUCGAGCGGUAAGGCCCUCGGGUACGACGAGCGGCGAACGGGUGAGUAACACGUGGGUGACCUGCCUUUACGUCUCUGGGAGUAAGCCUGGGAAACGUAGGGUCGUAAUACCGGAUAUGACCUCAUGAUGCAUGUUGUGGGGUGGAAAGCCUUGUGCGGCUGGAGAUGGGCCCGCGGCCUAUCAGCUUGUUGGUGGGGUGANGG